UGAAUACGAGAUGCUACGGCGUCGAAGCAGUCUAUGUCAUACUUCCAAGAAAAGCUUGCACUGUCAUAAACAAAUAAUGCCUGUACCAUAACCGACACAGGUGGGUAGGUAGAGUAUACUAAGGGGCGCGAGAUAACUCUCUCUAAGGAACUCGGCAAAAUGACUCCGUAACUUCGGGAGAAGGAGUGCCUUAUUUAUAAGGUUGCAAUAACAAGAUCCAAGCAACUGUUUACCAAAAACACAGGUCUCCGCUAAGUCGUAAGACGAUGUAUGGGGGCUGACGCCUGCCCAGUGCCAGAAGGUUAAAGAAGUUGGUUAGCAUCCGCGAAGCUGAUAACUGAAGCCCUGGUGAACGGCGGCCGUAACUAUAACGGUCCUAAGGUAGCGAAAUUCCUUGUCGGGUAAGUUCCGACCCGCACGAAAGGCGUAAUGAUUUGGAUACUGUCUCGGAGAGGGGCUCGGUGAAAUAGACUUGUCUGUGAAGGUGCGGACUACCUGCACCAGGACAGAAAGACCCUAUGAAGCUUUACUGUAACCUGAAAUUGAAAUUGGACUUUACUUGCGCAGUAUAGGUGGGAGGCGUUGAGAAUAUUCUUGCGGGAUUAUUGGAGCCAUCAGUGAGAUACCACUCUUGUAAUGUUAGAUUUCUAACUUUGUAUCAUUAUCUGGUCAAAGAACAGUUUCAGGCGGGCAGUUUGACUGGGGCGGUCGCCUCCUAAACGGUAACGGAGGCGCACAAAGGUUUCCUCUGAACGGGUAGAAAUCGUAUCUAGAGUGUAAAGGCAUAAGGAAGCUUGACUGUGAGACCUACAAGUCGAGCAGGGACGAAAGUCGGUCUUAGUGAUCUGACGGUGCUGAGUGGAAAGGCCGUCACUCAACGGAUAAAAGUUACUCUAGGAUAACAGGCUGAUCUCCCCCAAGAGUUCACAUCGACGGGGAGGUUUGGCACCUCGAUGUCGGCUCAUCGCAUCCUGGGGCGGUAGUACGUCCCAAGGGUUGGGCUGUUCGCCCAUGAAAGCGGUACGCGAGCUGGGUUCAGAACGUCGUGAGACAGUUCGGUCCAUAUCCGGUGUAGGCGUUAGAAUAUUGAGAGGACCUUCUUUAGUACGAGAGGACCGAGAAGGACAUACCUCUGGUGUACCAGUUAUCGUGCCAACGGUAAACGCUGGGUAGCUAUGUGUGGAGUGGAUAACCGCUGAAAGCAUCUAAGUGGGAAGCCCACCUCAAGAUAAGUAUUCUCGU
rnacentral:rRNA from 1 species